ACUGCCAGAACUCAUGCCCAGAGUUUUAGGCUAUAGAAGUCUUUUGAAUUUUAACUUUUAGGUUUAGGGGAAAUAUAGGUCAGCCUCUGAUGCUGCUUGACCUUGAAAAACAUCACUUUUUCUUGUCUGUUUUCCCUAAAUAGACCCUAAAAUCCAUUUUGCUAAGUUGCAAUAGGGAUUGUCCACUGCCCAUCCCAUCCUUUACUGAGCAAGCUGCUGCUGGAUUUUAGCUGUGCUGGGAGUGCAUGACUGAUACCAUUAUGGCACAUAGCAUGGAGCUCCUUUAGAACGUGACUGAAUUGCUGCAUGGAACACGACUGAAUUGCUGUGGGCUUGCGAAGGCGAUCUAAUUGAAGUCAGCUUUGGUGAUCUACAGGGUGAAAUCUACAGUGAUUUUAGAGCCAUUAAUGCCACACAAAGCUUUCCCUUGGGAAAGUGACCAGAAGCAGCCUGUAGCUGACAUUGGCAACCUCUGGGGAGAAAAACAGAAGUGGGAGCUGACUGAAGCAUGAACAACUUCUAGAUGAAACACAUGUCUUAUGGAAAGUGGAUUACGUUUUUUUUUUUCCCAAGCAAACCUUCCCCUCUAUUUCUACUGCUGUAGCAAAUCUUAUUGCUAGUGAUACAAAGAAAAUAAAAUUCAUUUAAUUCACAC